UUGCAGGUGAAUGGUGGUAGUGAGCAGCAUCUCCAGAAAAUAACUACAGAAGAAAUCCACUUCUCUAUUAAGUCUGAAAUUCAUCCAGAUUCAGAGAUUGUAGGUGGCGUUAACGUUAAUGACUUGACACAACAAGAAGAAGAAUAUAGACAUAAAAUUGAGCUUGAAGCGGAGGAAAGAAAGCUUGAAGAGAUUCUGGAGUAUCAGAGGAGCAUCGAGAAUGAGGGCAAGCAGAAGCAUCUUGCCGUUGACGGUGAAGCACUAGAAAAUUGCUUUGUGCCUUCUGAGGGAUGGAUAGGAAGACAACACA